rnacentral:rRNA from 1 species
AUUGAACGCUGGCGGCAUGCCUUACACAUGCAAGUCGAACGGCAACAGGUCUUCGGAUGCUGACGAGUGGCAAACGGGUGAGUAAUACAUCGGAACGUGCCUAGUAGUGGGGGAUAACUACUCGAAAGAGUGGCUAAUACCGCAUGAGAUCUACGGAUGAAAGCAGGGGAUCGCAAGACCUUGUGCUACUAGAGCGGCCGAUGGCAGAUUAGGUAGUUGGUGGGAUAAAAGCUUACCAAGCCGACGAUCUGUAGCUGGUCUGAGAGGACGAUCAGCCACACUGGGACUGAGACACGGCCCAGACUCCUACGGGAGGCAGCAGUGGGGAAUUUUGGACAAUGGGCGAAAGCCUGAUCCAGCAAUGCCGCGUGCAGGAUGAAGGCCUUCGGGUUGUAAACUGCUUUUGUACCGAACGAAAAGCCCUGGGUUAAUACCCUGGGGUCAUGACGGUACCGUAAGAAUAAGCACCGGCUAACUACGUGCCAGCCGCCGCCGUAAGAC